UACGUAGGGUGCGAGCGUUGUCCGGAAUUAUUGGGCGUAAAGAGCUCGUAGGCGGUGUGUCGCGUCGGCCGUGAAAACCUGCAGCUUAACUGUGGGCUUGCGGUCGAUACGGGCAUCACUGGAGUUCGGCAGGGGAGACUGGAAUUCCUGGUGUAGCGGUGAAAUGCGCAUAUAUCAGGAGGAACACCGGUGGCGAAGGCGGGUCUCUGGGCCGAUACUGACGCUGAGGAGCGAAAGCGUGGGGAGCGAACAGG
rnacentral:rRNA from 1 species